CGUUCUUUGAAACCUAUUUCCAAUAGAUCCAUUGCGUGAGUCUAGUUCAGUGAAACGAACUUUGCCAUCCGGUUAAUGAAACAAUCAGGUUAAGAAGAUGAAUUUGCAAAGGAAUUCGAAGUAGGAAGACAGGAGAAGUCCAAAUCUUUUAGGUCCAGACUAAAAAACUAUAUGUUAGAAAGUAAGCAUCAAACAUCAAGGAAUGUUAGUUAUUAGCUGUUCUAAAGGUUCUUUGUGGUCCCUUUUUUUUUUUUUUUUUUUUUUUCGGGAAAGAGGGCUAUUAAGAGUGAGGUUGACUCCUUUUAUAAAUCAUAUGUGGGAACUAGUGGAUUUACCACAGAAAGUAAGCCAUUGUGUCACGCCCCCGAUCUGAUCAGACCCGGCACGUAAUCAAAUUAUUCAAAUGCCGAAAAAGUCAAGCCCCAAAAUGCAUCUAGACGACUUAUGUGACAUUUUAGAAAAGAUAUGAGUAUUGAUAUGAAAAUCCAAAACCCCAAAAAAAAAAAAGAAAAUUUUUUGUUUCGCUGGAUGAAACAGUACCAGCGAGGAUCCAGCGAGAUCCAGCAAAAAUUCCGCGAACUAUGUGGCAAAAAAACAAGCUAUCGGCUUCUCAGCGAGGUCCCUUUUUUUUCGAGGAGGAAAACAGUACCAGCGAGGAUCCAGCGAGGUCUGUGGCAAAAAAACAAAGCUAUCGGCUUCUGCAAGCGAGGAUCCAACGAAGCCCUCUCGCUCCUGCAUAGGGUCCCGCGAGGGGGGGUCCAGCGAGAUCCGCCAGCUUGCAGGUAUUCGACCAUACGUUUUACUCCGGUGCCCGAAUGACCUGAUUUUUGAUGCGUUGAAGAAGACUUCAAGAUUCUACAACUUGUCGAUAAUAAGAAUUUCUAAUCGAACUCUAAUCGUAAAAAAUAGAAUUUAAAAGUUACGGUAAAUUUUCAUGACAUUUCAAUCAACUUUUCUUAACUCAAACUUGCACAAAUGUGCUCAAAACCCUUUCACAAAUGCUCAAUACUCAUCUUCUAACAUUUAUAGGAGUCACACUAUUUCACAACUUACAUUAACACAAUGUGUCAUAAAUGCAAGCACCUAAACUCAAACGAAUUAUAACUGAACGCAUAACAUUUCUUAGUAUUUCACAAUACAGGGGACAAAUGCCACCCCAAGGGGGUGGGGGGGACCAUUGGCCCUCAUGGAGUAUCAAUUACAAAAAUAUAGAUGAUAAUCAUGGACAAUGCCACACUGGGUCCCAAAACAAUAUUACACUUUUUUCAAAAUAAUAACAAGUUUUCUAAGGACAAAAGAAAACAAAACGGCAAUCCACAUGCUCAAGAUUCGGGAUACACAUCGGUUACCUGAAAUUAUAUUGUUGUAAAGGUGGUUACCUUGAAAAGAUGUAACAAUGGACACUUGAUAUCUCAAGCAAAAAACCAUGAUUCUACUAUACCUUGAAACAUAAAGUCAUAAUGGGUUUUCACCACAAAUCAAAAUACAUUUUUGAUUCCAAACCAUGAUUAUUCAAUUCAAUGUUUACACAUUCAAGACUUCUAUUAAAAAAGCGAUUAGUUCAAUCAUUUGAACAACAUACUAGUUAAACACAUACUAGUCAACCUCCUUUCCCUCUAAACUACAGGACCACACCCGUCAACUUCCCGGACUCUCACCGUGGGCUAUGACAUUCCCUCGUAUUGUUGCCAUCCAACUUCCCGGACUUCACGUCGGGCAUGACAUUCCCUCGUAUUCAACAUUCCGGACUUUCCAGCGGGGCUAUGACAUUCCCUCCGUAUUGUCACGUUGGACUUUCACCGAGCGGCUCUGACAUUUCCUCCGUAUCGUUGCCAUCUAGGACUUUAAUUUUUUUGUCUAGCUUCUAGACUCUCAUAAACUAUACACCAUCCAAAGUUUCAUUUUAACCCAAACUUAUUUUUCUCAAACUUUCUAUUUAACAAUCACAUUAUGGCUAUAAUUAGCUUAGCAUCACAUUUACAAUAAUCCAAUGCAACAACAUAGUUCAAUACAUACAACUAUUUGAACAAUGAGCAAUUUUUGAAAUGCAUUUACAUCAAUUAAUUUGUAAAAUGUUUAUGAAUAUUUAAUAUGCAACAAAUUGUAUCCUCAAAUUAACAUACCUUUAAACAAUGAUUCUACUAUUUCGAACUUUACAUUUUUAUUCAUAGAAUAUAAACCAAUAUCCAUCAAAAAAAAAAAUUACAUUUUUCAUAGUAGAUUUCAUCACUCAAAAUAAUGCCUCAAUGGGCCCUAUAUAACUAGCCAAAUAUUAACCAAACACUUAAACCCCACAAGGAAACCCCCCCUUACCUCAAAUCUAGGAAGAAAGCUCCAAAAGAAAUGGUUGAGAAAGAGGAGAGACCCGAAUUUUUCACUUGCUCGAUCUUGAAUAUUUUUAGCUCUACGCGUAACCCUCGCCGAGGUGACAAAACAAUAGCCAAACACUAUCAACCAACUCUCACCAUUAGUUCACUAGAUCUAGGCUCAAAGUAGAAGAAACCCUCUUUGGUUCUAGCUUUAAGAGAGAGAGGAAAAGAAGAAGAGUUGGGAAAAAAAAAAAAGAGUGGUCUCAUGAGGGAGAGAAAAGUUUAGUUGUAGGAUAUUUUAGGCUAAGGGCCUUGUUGGUUCUCCAAUAACAAUUCAACUUUUGGAUCCCAAAAUUAAACUCACACUUCAUCCAAACCCAAUUUUCAAGUUAUAAAACACAUAACGAUAUAUAUAUAUAUAAUAGAUAUAUUAGAUAUAUAUAACCAGUGGCAUAAACAACGUAUAAUAAAAAAAAUUUGGACCUUACAACUCCACCACUUAAAGAAAUUCGUCACACGAAAUUAGAUAAACGUUACCCGAUUGGUCAAAAAAGAUCGGAUAAUUUACACGGACCUCAGACUCGAGCUCCCACGUAUAGCCUCUUCCACGCCAUGAUGAUGAAGCAUAGAACCUUUCACCAAUGGAAAUGGUUUUUCCUCUAUGUACUUGAUCCCGUGAGUCCAAAAAUCAAAUUGGUCGCUCCUCAUACGGACCUCGUUGAGAUCCAAGCCUCCCCAAUCCAAACAUGAGAAGGAUCGGGCUCAUACUUUCGCACCCUAGAAAUAUGAAAUACAUUGGCAUAUUUGCCAACCUUGUGGUUAGGCAAGACGAUAUGUUACGGCCCCAAAACACGAUCAAGAACCUCAAAAAGGUCCAGAUGAACCUUGGGGAAGCUUGCCACCUAUGCCCAAAAGGCAGCAUCAAUCCCUUCUUGGUGAAACCUUCAGAAUAUGAUCCCACAAAUUAAACUCAAGGGACGUUUUCCUCCGGUCAGCAUAAAUCUUCUGACGACUUGCGCCAAUGAGUAGUCAACACUUCAUAACAAGACUACUUUCUCGGUCGUAUCACGAACCCAAUCAGACUUGGCAAGUGCUGCCUCCCAACGUCGCGGUCCAACAAAGGUGUGGACCUACACGGCCUUACCGUAUGUAUACGCCCGCAAAUGGUGCCCAUACACAAUACUUGCCUGAUAAUAUUAUUUGUAGCGAAUUCUACCAAAUGUUAGAGGAUCCUCCCAUGAUCCCAAAAGUCAGUACACAUGCCCGAGGCAUGUCCUCCAAAAUUUGAAUGGUACGCUCAAAACUGCCCGUCAGUCUGAGGAUGAUGAAGAACGCCUACUAAGCCUCAAAGCUGAAAACAAGAGCGGAUUGCAUCCCCUUUCAAAAGAGCGAUGUAAAACGCGGAUCUCUAUCGAAACGAUAAAAUAUCGAACUCCGUGUGAAGGCUUGAAACGAUUCACGAACAUAAAUAACACCAAAGAUCCUCUGCCGAAAUUUGACAGACGGAUAGCAAGAAAAUGCGCGAAUUUAGUCAAAUGAGCGACUACUAACCCAGACGGCGUCAUGUCCUCUCAAAGAUCCUAGGCAAACCGUGUGUAACGAAAUCCAUCGUGAUGUGCACCCAUUUCCAUCUGCAACCGGUAAUGGUUGAACAGUCAUGUCGGUUUCUGGUGUUCGACCUUCACUUUUGACACGUCAAACACAUAGAAACAAACAAAGCAACAUCCUCUUCAUUCGCCUCCACCAGAAAUGACGACCACAAAAUCGUGGUCCAUCUUUGUUCCCUCCCGGAAAUGAACUACAAGUCGCGAAUGAUGAAAUCACAAAAGUAUGUCGUCAUUUUUCUACUAGACAAUGGUAGAACAAUCUAGACUUGUACCUUAAACCCCCACUGAUUGUAGAACCCAAUCAGUUGGUCCUACACCUCUAGUUGAUGCGGUCGCAAAAUAGUCUUGCUCCACAUCUUGCGGGUGCCUCAUAUGACCCUAUUGAUGAUAGAGGCUCUGCAGACCACGUGAAUAGCAUAGCGAACUCGUCUGUCUCCAACUAGAAGUAAAUCUACUCACCGAUAUCCCGAAGCAUUUGCCACUCAUAUGAAUAGAAACGCCAGCCAAAGUACCAAGGGAAUAUGGUAAAUCGAAGUAUAGUCUUCCAGUACUCAUCCAACGACGUUGCCCUCGGUUCAAGGUCUUUUUGUGUGAACAAGAUUUCAAAGCUUUUGUGGUCUGUGAAAAUACUUCAAUCGCUUCCCUUACAAGUGUGCCUCUAACUUUUCACGAAAUUAUAACUACCGCAGCUCUAAGUCGUGAGUCGGAUAAAUUUGUUCAUGUGUCUUCAAUUGACGUGAACCAUAUGCAAUUACUUUGCCUAACUGCAUUAACAGAACCCAAGCAAUCACGUGAAGCAUCGCAAUACAUUGUUACCCCAAUCCUCGCUCGGGUUAUGACAAGAAUCGGUUUGGCCGAACGUCCAACCUUUUCUUAAGUUUGAAAAGAAUGCUCGCACGCAUCGUUCCAAACAAAGCGGAUCCUUUCCUCGUUAAGUAGAGUCAUAGGUGCAGCUAAACGUGGAAAAAAUCAUCCACAAAUCGUCGAUAGUAACCGGCUAACCCCAAGAAGGAAAACUACGAAUAUCAAACACAGUCUUCGGUUUGUUCCCAAUUCAUCACUGCUUCAUCUUGAUGAGUCAACCCCUCUCCGAUUCCCGAAACAACGUGACCCAAGAAUUUCACUUCAGGUAACCAGAAAUCACCACUUGCCAAGCUUAGCAUAUAACCGAGGCUCUCGCAAGAGUGCAACACAAUCCUCAAAUGCUUAUCAUGCGACUAGUCGAUGGCGAGUCGAUCAAAAUGUCACCACAAAACACGACCACAAAACGAUCCAGUAUGGAUUGAAACUACGAUUCAUUCAAGUCCAUGAAGCUGCUGGCGAUGCGUAAGGACCAAAUGACAAUCACAAGGAAGAAACUCAUAAUGCCCGUAGCGUGAGCGGAAAGCCGUCUUCACAAUGUCCUCUUCCUUUGAUCCGCAAUUGAUGAUGAUAACCGAUCUCACAUCAAUCUUUUGAGAAACAACUCGAACCUUUAAUUGGUCAAACAAAUCAUUGAUUCUCGGGAACGUGGAUUACUAAUUCUUUAUCGUCACACGAUUUCAAUUGGCGGUAAUCCACAAACAUUCUAAGUGACCCAUCUUCUUCUUAGCAAAUAAGGCGAAGCUCCCCAUGUUGACGCCCUAGGUCGAAUAAAGUCCUUAUCUAACAAGUCUGGAUCUGAACUUUCAACUCUUGUAAUUCUGCCAGGUGCAAAAACGAUACGGUGGUAACAGAAAAGGGCGCGGUGCCCGUGUAUUGUUUUGUUAAGGUCAAUGCGAGAACUCAAUUCUCCCGAUGCGUUAGUAACUUUGUCAGUCUUCCGGAAAGACGGUCUACGGAAGUCGCAAAACAAACCGGUGGCAAAAACCACACGAACUUCACUAUCCUCGUCGUCAAACCAAACUAACCGACAAAAGAAAAAUUCAAUUCCCCUUGCUACGAAGAUCAUAGACGAGGGACAAAACUAGCACCUCGAUCUCCACAAAAUAAAAAUUGAUCACUUCGGGGUACAAAGCAACCGAUGUCGAAACACAAUUCUAUCGUAGCGCGAUAACCCAUCAACCAACCUGCCAAGGAUUACUUCAAAACUCGUCAUGUCAACACAAUAAAGUCGAACAUGAAGCGUCUAUCAGCGAUCUCAACCUCACAAGACCUACAACUCUCUUCAAAGUUGAUCUUUCCCCAACUGAGUGUCCUCUAACAUAAGUACGCGUCUAACACCUCAAUAUCUAACCCCAAUGCCAAGCAAAAAGAUGAUGCUAUUAUAAAUGAAUGCUUGAUGCCCCGUGUCGAUAAGAACACGAGCCCACGAUUAAUAUAAGUAAAGUACCUCGCACAACGAGGUUCCAUUGUUGCUCUGCUGUCCCAGUUGUCACCCGCGGUCACCGCUGCUGAUGCAAGCGUAAACCCCGUUCCCUUGCGCCUCUGACCCUGCUGAAGCUAAAGCUUGUGGCUGGACUGAUAUGAAGUUGUGCUGAUGUAAAUGAUGUGGAGUGGCCCUUGAGGGAAUGCACUGACCGAGUAGGUUUGCGAAUCCCGUAGCUCCCUGAUUGUUUUCCCUUAAAUGCACAUCGACUGAUUUAUGACCAACCCUAACCACACAUGAUAGCAAGUAGGUGGCCCCCUAACUUGAUUGUCCUUGUGCCGAAUGUGGAGAUGUUCCCCUCUGCUGCGACGCCGCUGUUGACCUUCAGGGGGCCCAGACCAUAAUACGAUGACCGGUUGGUGACAACCAAAACAAAUCGGGCCCUCCCCGAGAUGUUUGGCCAGAUGAUACAACUGCCAUGUUAGGUGAAGACCUACAGGAUUACGGCGUGCCUGAGUUAGUAGAAAAACUCUUCGGCUCUUAAAGAAGCCUUCAGACUGGUUGCUAGUCCCCUCAGCGGGUCGACUUAGGAUUUGAAUCUUUCUAGUCUCAUUCAAAGACUAUUCGAUGCCGCAGCCGCUGUGCUAACCCCCCCCAAAUAGUCGAGUAAACUGUGAUCAAAUUUCCAGCAAUCUAUUCUUAUGGGACGGCCUAAGCCCCCGCAUAAAACUGUUUCGCUUUAUUCUCUUUGUCGAUACAAAUGCUUUUGCAAACUGAAAAAGCUAGUAAAAUUGGCAUUCCUAUUGAGGCCACAGUCAUAUCCCUUGAACUAGAUUGAUAAAUUCCAUUCUCAAUGCCUCCUUAGCCGUAUCCGCAAAAUAUUGAUCCAGAAAAACCUUUGAAAGGCUCCACUCUUCGCUACUAAUUCUUCCAUGGGUCUCCACCAUUUGGAGGGCAUCCCCUUGUUAAGUGAUAGGAUGCAAACAAACACUCUCAAGUCCUCCUCAGUCACCCAGAUUGUAUUCCAACGCCCCUUGUGACUGUUCGAGCCAAUCUUCCGCAACCAACGGAAUACGGGGGGUUCUCCCUUGAACGUUGGUGGACGUAGUUGAGAAAAGAAAGGCCUUCAUGGGUUGUGGUAGCCCUACUUUCUACCGUUCUACUGGAAGUGGCAUAGUUUGUUACAGCGUUUUCCCACUUAUUCAAAGCGGUGAAAAUCCUUGCAUAAAUUCGGCAGCCACCCAAAAUCGUUGGUGGAAGCACCUAACAUAUUUCCCCAGGAGCACUUGCCCCACCUCCAUCACCGAUUCCUGGUGAUUCCCAUAAUCUUCUAAUCAGAUUUAACGAGUCCCGCGGCUCCACGAGCCCCACGAACUACGUAAGUGAUCUUGUACGCCUCCAGCGUACGUGGGUGGCAUUGUUCUACACAAUGGCCAAAUAAAAAUAAGAUUAGUCCUAUUUAAUAAUGAUUAAGUCAUACAUCUCCAUACCACACAAGCAAUUUAGUACAUGUAGCACGUAUGUUCAGUUAUUCCUAUACCAUAGAUAGCACACUAACCGUAUCCUCUCAAUACUUAGACGUUAAACAAAACGUAGGUCUAACAAACCCAUGUGACUCAUAGGUACACGAAUCUAGAGUUCCAUACAAUUUAUUAAAUCACAUUGGCAACACCUCACAUUAUUCUGAAUAGCUAAGCAGCAAACUUCAUAUGUCUUAACUAUUCCCACGGCUCCUAGGUACUCGUACCUAGAGCUCUGAUGAUACCAUGCUGGUCACGCCACGAUUGAUCAAGACCCCGGCGGGCCACGUAAUCAAAUUAUUCAAAUGCGCGAAAAAAGUCAACCCAAAAUGACAUCUAGACGGCUUAUACUAGUGACAUUUUAGAAAGUAGUAUAUGAGUAUUGAUAAAAAAUCCAAAAUAAAAAAAAAAAUGUUAAUUUCUUUUUUUUCUCUGGAUGAACAGUACAGCGAGGUCCAGUGAGAUCCAGCGAGAUCAGCGAAAAUCCCGCGAACUCGAUGGCAAAAAAAAAAAAAAAAAACAAGCUCUCGGCUUCUCCAAACAGGAUCCCUUUUUUUUUUUGCUGGAUGAACAUACCAACGAGGAUCCAGCGAGAUCCAGCGAGGUCUGUGGCAAAAAAAAAACCAAGCUCUCGGCUUCUUAUUCCAGCGAGGAUCCAACGAAGCCCCUCUCGCUCUGCUAGGGUCCCGCGGAGGAUCCAGCGAGCUCCGCCAGCUCGCGGUAUUAGACCAUAACCUUUACUCCGGUGCCCGAUUGACCUGAUUUUUGAUGCUUGUAAAGAAACUUCAAGAUUUAACAAUGGACUUGAUAUCUCAGCCAAAAACAUGUUCAUACUUACCUUGAAAACAUAAGUCAUAAUUGCGCAUUUUCACACUAUCAAAAUACAUUUUGGAUUUCCAAACCAUGAUUAUUCAAUUCAAUAUUUCAAAAUUCAAGGCUUCUAUAAAAAGCGAUAGUUCAAUCAUUUUGAACAACAUACCUAAGUUAACACCUAGUCGACCUCCUUUCCCUCUAAACUACAGACCACACCCGUCACUUCCCGGACUUCACCGUGGGCUAUGGAUUCCCUCAGUAGUGUGCCAUUAGGACUUUAGUUUCGCAACUUUCCGACUCUCACCCGUGGGCUAUGACAUUCCCUCCGUACUUGUUGCAAUCUAGACUUUAGUUUUCGUUUCAAUUCCCGGACUUCACCGUGUGGGCUAUGACAUUCCCUCCGUAUUGUUGCCAUCUAGGAACUUUCAGUUUCGUCAACUUUCUGGACUUUCACCGUGGGCUUAUGACAUUCCUCCGUAUUAUCAACACUUUCGACUUUCACCGAGGGCUAUGAAAUUCCCUCCGUAUGUCAAAACUCUUUCCGGACUUCACGAGGGCAGGGGGCACAUGACAUCCCUCCGUAUCGUGCCAUCUAGACUUAUUUUUUUUGUCUAGCUUAUAGACUCUCAUAAACUUACACCAUCCAAGUUCAUAUCUUACACCCAAACUUAUCUUCUCAACUUUCUAUUCAACAAAUCACAUUCCAUGGUUACAUAGCUAUCACAUUUACAAUAAUACAAGCCAAAACCAAAAUAGUUCAAUACAUACAAACUAUUUGAACAUGGGCAAUUUUUGAAGCAUUUUUACCAUCAAAUAAUUUUCAUAAAUGUUUAUGAAUAUUUAAUAUGCCAAAACAAUUGUAUCCUCAAAAAACAUACCUUUAACAGAUUUUACUAUUUCGACCUUACAUUUUUAUUUAUAGAAGAACCAUAUCCAUCAAAAAAAAUUACAUUUUUAUGGUUAAGAUUUCAUCACUCACAUGUGCCCAAUGGGCUAUAUACUAGCCAUUAAUAUUAACCCAAACACUAAAAACCCCACAAGGAAAACCCCCUUAACCUCAAAUCUAUGGAAAGAAAGCUCCAAGAAAGGUUGAGAAGAGAAGAGACCCGGAAUUUUUCACUUGCUCCGAUCUUGAAUAUUUUUAGCUCUUUUUGUUUUUAUACGCGUUAGCCCUCGCCGAGUUGACAACAAUCUGCCAAAAGCAUAUCAACCACUCUCACCCUAGUUCAAUAGAUCUAGAUCAAAGUAGAAAACCUCUUUGUUCUAGCUUUUAGAGAGAGGAGAGAAAAGAGAAGGUUGGGGAAAAAAAAAAAAGAGUGGCUCUCAUGAGGAAGAGAGGGAAAAAGUUAGUUGUAAUAUUUUUUAGGUUUUAAGGGCCUUGUUUUGGCUUCUACCAUAAACAAUUCAACUUUUGAUCCAAAAUUAUACAAACACUCUCAUCCAAAAAACCAAUUUCAAGUAUAAAAACACAUAACGAUAUAUAUAUAUAUAUAUACACGUGCCUUACAUAUCCUCCUCUUCUCCUACACUGCCCCACCCUCCUCAGCUGCCUCUCACCCCCCAUAAACAAGUCAUAAUAAAAAAAAAAUUUGGAGCCUUACACAUUGGGUUACAAUGGAUCUUCAAGAGGAAGAGGAAGGCAGAUGGGUCAAUUGAUAAGUACAAAACUAGGCUUGUUAUCAAAGGAUACAGACAACAAGAAAGCCUAAAUUAUUUUAAUACUUACUCACCAGUCUCGAGAAGUACAUCUAUUUGGAUGAUAAUUACGAUCGCAAUUUUGUGAAAUCUCGAGAUACAUCAAAUGAAUAUAAAAACAGUUUUCCUGAAUGACGAUUUAUAUGAAGAAAAUAUCUACAUGGAACAAACCUAAAAUUAUUUUUCUGCCACCUGAAACAGAAGAGAAAGAAAAAGAAAAGAAACAAAGUAUGUAGACUUGUAUGUAGAUCAGUGUAUGGUCUCCAAUCAAGAAUACCAGAACAAUGGCAUAAAAAAUUAACAAUAUUAUAUUGUCUAGUGGCUUCAAAUUAACAAUCAAGGUACAUCAUUUUGUGUCUUAUUGUUGAGACAUGAUUACUUAGUCCGGUAGCUAACGACCCCUAAAGUUAUCCAAAUUACAAAUCCAUGUAAAUUUAAAAAUUUAACUGAAGGAUAUGAGCCUAAACAUUAUGGAUUAUGGGGUGUGAGAUUAUCAGAACAUCUGAUAGACUUGCACUUUCUCAAACACACUAUAUUGAUAAAAUUCUAGAUAAAUUCAAUAAGUUUGAUACAAAUGUGACAAGGACUUUUGUAGAUGUAAAUCUUCACUUAUCCAAUAAUUGGAGGAAUACGAAUCCUAAUUGGAGUAUUCUCGUAUAAUCAGGAGGUUAAUGUACUUAAUGAGUUGUACAAGGCCCGAUAUAGCCUAUUCAGUGAGUAGAUGAAACAGAUAUAAGAAUAAUUCAGGAAGUGAUCACUGGAAGGCGAUAGUAAGAUUACUGCGUUAUUUAAGAUAUACUCCUGAUAUUGAAUUGCAUUACACUAGAUAUCAAGUUGUACUUGAAGGUUAUUGUGAUACAAACUGGAUAUCAGACAUGAAAGACUCGAAAUUCAUGAGUGAAUAUGUCUUCAUGCUUGGUGAUGCAGCAGUAUCUUGAAAAUCUUCCAAAUAGAUGUGCAUUGCACGAUCUACAAUGAAAUUAAAAUUUAUUACUCUAGAUAAGGCGACUAAAGAGGCUUAGUGACUAUGCCAAUUUCUAGAAAAUAUUUCAAGAUGGUCAAAACUUGUGCCUAGGAUUACUAUUCAUUGUGAUGGUCAGCAAUUGUUAAGGUACAGAGUAAUAUGUAUAAUGAUAAGUCUAGACAUAUUCGUCAUAGACAUAAUAUCAUUAGACAACUGCUCUCAAGUGGAAUUGUCAAUAUCGACUAUGUGAGGUCAAAAAAAAAUAGUGCGGAUCCGCUUACCAAAAGGUUGCCUAGAGAAUUAGUUGAUCUAGUAUCGAAAGGAAUGGGUUUAAAGCUUAUGAAAGAGAAAUGUAUUAUGAAGAAAAACUCAACCAAGUUGACUGGAGAUCCCAAAAUGUAGGUUCAAUGGGACAACCUAUUUGCGUAUAUCUAAAGAUACUCAUUGUGGAGUUGAAAAACUCCUACCCGUUUUUGUGAUGGAACAGUGAUUGUGAAUAAGAUUAAGUAAUAGCUUUUAAUGACUCUCUGCGCUAGUGAGCCAGGUUGUGUAUAGUAAAAUAUCCAUAAAAAAGUCUUCUAUUUGAGUAUGAAGUGAGUCUGUUUCUUUAAAAAUUUGAGAAGGCAAAAUUUUAGAGAAAAUACUUGCAGAACUAAGAAGAAUGUUCCUAGGCCAAAAUGGAUACAACAAUGAGAAUUGAACUGCAUCAAGAGAUGUUCAUAUGUGACGUCUAUUUUCUAAAUUUACACCGGCAUCGGCAUAGUUUAAGGUGGACUCACCCGCUGGUCUGCUAGUAAAUUCGAUAAGGCUCUCAUAAGGGAAUGUUUAAGGCCAAAAACUACAUAUCCUAUGCAGGAAUUAGUCGUUGUCUCUCUCUCAAGUCGAAUGAAAUUUUUAUUUAUAGGGGGAUAGUUAAAAAUUUAUAGUGAAUGAAAGCCCAAAGAAACAGUUGUUUUGUCACUAAUGACAAUAAUUUUUAAGCCCUAAUGUCUAUUAGUAGCAGUCUUAAUGACCGGAGGUUAUAGAGUCAUAAAUGCCCUAAUGAUGGAGUGGUUAUGGCUGUGAGUUUUUAACAUGAAAGGUCAUGUUUUUUCAUUAUAAAGAACUGAUUUGUUAAAGGGAAAUAUACAUCAACAAAAAUCUAAAUAUUUCUACAUUUGAGUACUUUGAGAGAUAAAGAGAUAGAUAGAUAAAGUUCUGUUCGCUAAGGCUGCGUAAGAAAGUGUUUUUACGUUAGUGGUUCAACCGUUUUAUACUGGGAGAAAGACAUCAACAACACCUACAACACUCUCGGUAGGUGGCAAA
rnacentral:lncRNA from 1 species